GAAGGCAACUGAGGGCUGAAACAAAAUUUUACCAAAGCUAAAUUAACGUGUCUCUUAUUCGCCCCCGUCUCAUUUCGAAAAAAACCUAGUCCAAGAUGCCGAAGCCAGUUGUUCAAGUUGGCGACGAUCCCGAUCCAAGCGAGUGGCUGUUCGUUUCGCUGGAACAGAAGCGUAUCGAUCAAAGCAAGCCGUACGAUGCCAAGAAGGCUUGCUGGGUUCCGGAAGAGAAGGAGGGCUACGUGCUCGGUGAAAUCAAGGCCACCAAAGGUGACCUGGUCACCGUUGCCUUGCCCGGUGGUGAGUCCAAGGACUUCAAGAAAGAUCUAGUGUCCCAGGUCAACCCACCGAAAUACGAGAAAUGCGAGGAUAUGUCCAACUUGACAUAUCUUAACGAUGCCUCUGUCCUGCAUAACUUGAGGCAGCGUUAUGUUAACAAGCUGAUUUAUACCUACUCUGGCUUGUUCUGCGUUGUCAUCAACCCUUACAAGCGUUGGCCGCUGUAUACCAUGCGCGUCGCCAAGAUGUACCGUGGUAAGCGUCGUGCUGAAGUCCCACCCCAUCUAUUCGCCGUUUCUGACGGUGCCUACGUCAACAUGUUGACCAACCACGAGAACCAGUCUAUGCUGAUUACCGGUGAAUCUGGUGCCGGAAAGACUGAGAACACCAAGAAGGUCAUUGCGUACUUCGCCACCAUUGGUGCCUCCAGCAAGAAGGACGAAUCCGCCGAGAAGAAGGUUUCCCUGGAAGAUCAGGUCGUCCAGACCAACCCUGUACUUGAGGCCUUCGGUAACGCCAAGACCGUCCGUAACGAUAACUCUUCUCGUUUCGGUAAGUUCAUCCGUAUCCACUUCACCGGAUCCGGUAAGCUGGCUGGUGCUGAUAUUGAGACCUACCUGCUGGAGAAGGCCCGUGUCAUCUCCCAACAGACUCUGGAACGUUCCUACCAUAUCUUCUACCAGAUGAUGUCUGGCUCCGUCAAGGGCCUGAAAGACAUGUGCUUCCUGUCGAACGACAUCUACGACUACUACAACGUUGCCCAGGGUAAGGUUACCAUCCCCAACGUCGAUGACGGUGAAGAAUGCUCCCUGACCGAUGAGGCCUUCAACGUCUUGGGUUUCACUCAGGAAGAGAAGGACAACAUCUACCGUAUCACCGCCGCUGUCAUGCAUAUGGGUGGCAUGAAGUUCAAGCAAAAGGGUCGCGAAGAACAGGCUGAAGCCGAUGGUAUGGAUGAGGGUGGCCGUGUUGCCAAGCUUCUGGGUGUUGAGACCGAGGAUCUGUACAAGAACCUGCUGAAGCCACGUAUCAAGGUCGGUGCUGAAUUCGUCACCAAGGGCCAGAACGUCACUCAGGUCACCAAUGCCGUCGGUGCUCUUUGCAAGGGUAUCUUCGAUCGUAUCUUCAAGUGGCUGGUCAAGAAGUGUAACGAAACUCUGGACACCAAGCAGAAGCGUGCCCAGUUCAUUGGUGUACUGGAUAUUGCUGGUUUCGAAAUUUUCGACUACAACGGUUUCGAACAGAUCUGUAUUAACUUCACCAAUGAGAAGCUGCAGCAGUUCUUCAACCACCACAUGUUCGUCCUGGAACAGGAAGAAUACAAGAAGGAAGGUAUUAACUGGGCCUUCAUCGAUUUCGGUAUGGACUUGCUGGCCUGUAUCGAUCUGAUCGAAAAGCCCAUGGGUAUUCUGUCCAUUCUUGAGGAAGAAUCUAUGUUCCCGAAGGCCACCGAUCAGACCUUUGCUGAGAAGCUGAUGAACAACCAUCUGGGCAAGUCCGCUCCGUUCCAGAAGCCCAAGCCACCAAAGCCAGGUUGCCAGCCCGCUCACUUCGCCAUCGGCCAUUACGCUGGUGUUGUCUCGUACAACAUCACUGGCUGGCUUGAGAAGAACAAGGAUCCCCUGAACGACACUGUCGUCGAUCAGUUCAAGAAGGGCAAGAACGCUCUGCUGGUUGAGAUCUUCGCUGAUCACCCCGGACAGUCUGCUGCUCCAGAUGCUGGCGGCAAGGGUGGACGUGGUAAGAAGGGUGGUGGUUUCGCCACUGUCUCGUCCUCCUACAAGGAACAGCUGAACAACCUGAUGACCACUCUGAAGUCUACUCAGCCUCACUUCGUCCGUUGUAUCAUUCCCAACGAAUUGAAGCAGACCGGUCUGAUUGAUGCUCACUUGGUUAUGCACCAGCUGACCUGUAACGGUGUACUUGAAGGUAUCCGUAUUUGCCGUAAAGGUUUCCCCAACCGAAUGAUGUACCCUGACUUCAAGCUGCGUUACCUUAUCCUGGCCCCAGCUAUCAUGCAGGCCGAGUCUGACCCGAAGAUUGCUGCUGAGAAGUGUUUCAACUCCAUCGGUCUGGACCCUGAGUCCUACCGUAUUGGUCACACCAAGGUAUUCUUCCGCGCCGGUGUCCUGGGUCAGAUGGAAGAAUUCCGUGACGAGCGUCUGAGCAAGAUCAUGACCUGGAUGCAGUCCUGGGCUCGUGGCUACAUUGCCCGCAAGGAGUUCAGAAAGAUGCAGGAACAGCGCGUCUGCCUGGAGAUUGUCCAGCGCAAUCUGCGUAAAUACAUGAAGAUUAAGGCCUGGGCCUGGUGGAAGCUGUGGCAGAAGGUCAAGCCUCUGCUUAACGUUUCCCGCGUUGAGGACCAGAUCGCUGAACUGGAACAGAAGGCCAAGAGCACCGCUGAAGCCCUCGAGAAGGAAGUCAAGGUCCGCCAGGAAUUGGAAGCCCUGAACAGCAAACUGUUGGCUGAGAAGACCGCUCUGCUGGACUCUCUGUCCGGUGAGAAGGGUGCUCUCGGUGAAAUGCAGGAGAAGACCGCUAAGCUGACCGCUCAGAAGAACGACCUCGAGAACCAGCUGCGCGAUACUCAGGAUCGCCUGUCCCAGGAGGAAGAUGCCCGCAACCAGCUGAUGCAGGCCAAGAAGAAGUUGGAGCAGGAAAUGAACGGCCAGAAGAAGGAUGCCGAAGACCUGGAACUGCAAAUCCAGAAGAUUGAGCAGGACAAGGCCUCCAAGGAUCACCAGAUCCGCAACUUGAACGACGAGAUCGCUCACCAGGAUGAGUUGAUCAACAAAUUGAACAAGGAAAAGAAGGUCCAGGGUGAGGUUAACCAGAAGACUGCCGAAGAACUGCAGGCUGCUGAAGAUAAGGUUAACCACCUGAACAAGGUUAAGGCCAAGCUGGAGCAGACUCUGGAUGAACUGGAGGACUCUCUGGAGCGCGAGAAGAAGCUGCGCGGUGAUAUUGAGAAGGGCAAGCGCAAGGUUGAAGGUGACCUGAAGCUGACCCAGGAAGCCGUUGCCGAUCUUGAGCGCAACAAGAAGGAACUGGAACAGACCAUCAUGCGCAAGGACAAGGAAAUCUCUGCCCUGUCUGCCAAGCUUGAGGAUGAACAGUCCCUGCUGGGCAAGACCCAGAAGCAGAUCAAGGAACUGCAGGGCCGCAUUGAGGAACUGGAGGAAGAAGUCGAAGCUGAGCGACAGGCUCGUGCUAAGGCUGAGAAGCAGCGUGCCGAUCUGGCCCGCGAACUGGAAGAACUGGGUGAGCGUCUGGAGGAAGCCGGUGGUGCUACCUCUGCCCAGAUUGAGCUGAACAAGAAGCGUGAGGCUGAGCUCGCCAAGCUGCGCCGCGACUUGGAAGAGUCCAACAUCCAGCAUGAAGGAACUCUGGCCAACCUGCGCAAGAAGCACAACGAUGCCGUUGCCGAGAUGGCCGAACAGGUCGAUCAACUGAACAAGCUGAAGACCAAGGCUGAACACGAUCGCGCCAACAUGUACAACGAGCUGAACAACACUCGCACGGCUUGCGAUCAGCUUGCCCGCGAAAAGGCUUCCCAGGAGAAGAUCGCCAAGCAGCUGCAGCACACUCUGAACGAAGUCCAGGGCAAACUGGAUGAGACCAACCGCACUCUGAACGACUUCGAUGCCUCCAAGAAGAAGCUGUCGAUUGAGAACUCUGACCUGCUCCGCCAACUGGAAGAUGCCGAAUCUCAGGUUUCGCAGCUGAGCAAGAUCAAGAUCUCGCUCACUCAGCAACUGGAAGAUACCAAGCGUCUGGCCGAUGAGGAAUCGCGUGAACGCGCCACUCUGCUCGGCAAGUUCCGCAACCUGGAACACGACCUCGACAGCCUGCGCGAACAGGUUGAGGAAGAAGCUGAGGGCAAGGGAGACAUCCAGCGUCAACUCAGCAAGGCCAACGCCGAAGCUCAGUUGUGGCGUACCAAGUACGAGUCCGAGGGUGUUGCUCGCGCUGAAGAACUCGAGGAAGCCAAGAGGAAGCUCCAGGCCCGCCUUGCCGAAGCCGAGGAAACCAUCGAAUCGCUCAACCAGAAGUGUGUUGCUCUGGAGAAGACCAAGCAGCGCCUGUCCACCGAAGUCGAGGAUCUGCAGCUCGAGGUCGACCGUGCCACCUCGAUCGCCAACUCUGCCGAGAAGAAGCAGAAGGCCUUCGACAAGAUCAUCGGAGAAUGGAAGCUCAAGGUCGACGACCUGGCUGCUGAACUGGAUGCUUCCCAGAAGGAAUGCCGCAACUACUCCACCGAGCUGUUCCGUCUCAAGGGAGCCUUCGAAGAAGGUCAGGAACACCUUGAAGCCGUCCGCCGUGAGAACAAGAACCUGGCUGAUGAAGUCAAGGAUCUGCUCGACCAGAUCGGUGAGGGUGGCCGCAACAUCCACGAAAUCGAGAAGUCUCGCAAGCGUCUGGAAGCCGAAAAGGACGAACUCCAGGCCGCUCUCGAGGAAGCUGAAGCUGCUCUGGAACAGGAGGAGAACAAGGUUCUGCGCGCUCAACUUGAACUGUCUCAGGUUCGUCAAGAAAUUGACCGCCGUAUCCAGGAGAAGGAAGAAGAGUUCGAAAACACCCGCAAGAACCACCAGCGUGCCCUGGACUCCAUGCAGGCCUCUCUUGAAGCCGAAGCCAAGGGUAAGGCUGAGGCCCUGCGCAUGAAGAAGAAGUUGGAAGCCGACAUCAACGAGCUUGAGAUUGCUCUGGAUCAUGCCAACAAGGCUAACGCUGAGGCCCAGAAGAACAUUAAGCGCUACCAACAGCAGAUGAAGGACAUCCAGAGCGCCCUGGAGGAAGAACAGCGUGCUCGUGAUGAGGCCCGUGAACAGCUGGGUAUCUCUGAACGUCGUGCCAACGCUCUGCAGAACGAACUGGAAGAAUCGCGUACCCUGCUGGAACAGGCCGACCGCGGUCGUCGCCAGGCCGAACAGGAGUUGAGCGACUCUCACGAACAGCUGAACGAAAUCUCUGCCCAGAACGCUUCCAUUGCCGCCGCCAAGAGGAAACUCGAGUCUGAGCUGCAGACCCUGCACUCCGACCUGGAUGAGCUGCUGAACGAAGCCAAGAACUCCGAAGAGAAGGCCAAGAAGGCUAUGGUUGAUGCCGCCCGUCUGGCUGAUGAACUCCGCGCUGAGCAGGAUCAUGCCCAGACCCAGGAGAAGAUGCGCAAGGCCCUGGAACAGCAGAUCAAGGAACUGCAGGUCCGCCUGGACGAAGCCGAGACCAACGCCCUGAAGGGAGGUAAGAAGGCCAUCCAGAAACUGGAACAGCGCGUCCGCGAGCUGGAAUCCGAACUGGACAGCGAACAGAGACGUCAUGCCGAUGCCCAGAAGAACCUGCGCAAGUCCGAACGCCGCAUCAAGGAACUGACCUUCCAGUCUGAGGAAGACCGCAAGAACCACGAACGCAUGCAGGAUCUGGUCGAUAAGCUGCAGCAGAAGAUCAAGACUUACAAGAGGCAGAUUGAGGAAGCCGAAGAAAUCGCCGCUCUGAAUCUGGCCAAAUUCCGCAAGGCCCAGCAGGAACUGGAAGAGGCUGAAGAGCGUGCCGACAUUGCCGAACAAACUGCCACCAAAUUCCGCACCAAGGGAGGACGUGCCGGUUCGGUACAGCGUGGUGCCAGCCCAGCACCUUCGGUCAUCAGAGCGUAAAGCAAACGAUAGACAAUCCACACGUUACCCAACCCUCCAAAUCAAUUCAACCAAAUCGAAAUUCAACUUGCAUUUCCUGCGAGACAGCCAUCCGCUUUGCCAUCCCUUGCCGGAUUGGGCCUGCCAGCAUUCGACGACCAUGCUUUCUAAAUUAUGAAACUCCAAAAAAUUAAUUUAUAGAUAAAAGCCACACUUUUUAUUUAUUCAAUUAAUUUAUUUACACGUUAUUAAACAACCAAAGCAAUGCACCAGGAAUGAAAACACGCGUUCUCGCUAACCAACCAGAAAGCCAAAACCCCCAAAAGAUUUCAGAGCUAAUCUGCAUCCACCGGCGGUCCCGAUUUCUUCUCACGCCAGGAUACCCCUUUGACGAAAAAACGAAAACCAAAAGAGAGAGACACAAUUAACAUCGAAUCAACGCUCACACAUUAAAAGAAAAUUUCAGCCCUUGUGAGAAAAACGAAGCGGUAUUCCUCUACUGUUCGAUCUGUGUGAGGUGAAAACCGAGCCUUCGGUGGUUACGAAAUAGUAUUUUACAUCUAAUGCGCGCCCGUACAAAACAUUCGAACGAGCGAAAAAAAAACGUUUAGCGAGCAACGAUCUCGUGUUGUGAAAACCGGAGAAAUGAUUAGGAAAAUCCAGCAUGAUCAGUGAAAGCACUUCUUCAAAACAUAAUGAUAAUGAGUCAUUUUUAGUUCUCAUUAAUUUCUGUAUUAUUUUUUUAUUUGUUUUAAUUAUACUUUCGCUCUGAAUCUUUUAUAAUUUUAUUAAUAAAAAUGUAUUUAUUUUUAUUAAUUAAAGUAACGAAAUAAGAUACUAUUCGAAACUGAAAAUCAAAUCUGAAAAUGGUCUAGUUUUUUAUUGUAUGAUUGCGCUUUGCAGACGAACAAUCCGAAUAAGCGUUAAGUCCGCCCAUCGACCGAUUUUUGUCCCGACCAGAAGGCUCAAAGUUGCGUAAAUUGCAAUGUUUCGCACAGGAGGUGCGUUUCGAAUCGUUCUUAAUCAGGCAAAACCAAAAUGAGACACGUUCAAACUACCAUCUAGCAAAAGCCCCUCAAGUUCCAACAUCAUUAGUUAAGAAAAUGCGCUUCGAAAGCCGAUCGACAGCAUGGCAACCGUCACCAAAUGCUCGAGAGCACAAUUUUCGCGCCUUUAACCACUUUGGGUAUUUCCGAUCUGAUCGAGAAGGGAAUCGACCGGUUCCACGGAUUUGUACGUUGACCCUAAACAUACCAGGUGCAAAUCGCAAGCAACACGCAGCCAAACACCGCCUAUCCAUUUUCACUAUUUCGAUUUCGGUAAAGCACUAUCGCAAAAAUUCUGAGAGAUCACUAAGAAAAUCAAUCGAAUUUUACCAAAAAAAAACAAAAAAAAACGAAGUAAUUAAGAGAAAAGGAACAUCUAGUAGGAAAAAGCUGUUACAAAUGUAUAUGUUUGAAGGAAGAUUGAACCAAAGGAAUAAAAAUUCUAGUCUUUUCAAUAAUCAAA